GCACGAAAGUUAGCCGGGGCUUAUUCUGCGGGUACCGUCAUCAUCGUCCCCGCCAAAAGAGCUUUACAACCCGAAGGCCUUCAUCACUCACGCGGCAUGGCUGGAUCAGGGUUGCCCCCAUUGUCCAAUAUUCCCCA
rnacentral:rRNA from 1 species